rnacentral:rRNA from 1 species
GAUGAACGCUGGCGGCGUGCCUAAUACAUGCAAGCCGAGCGAACGGACGAGAAGCUUGCUUCUCUGAUGUUAGCGGCGGACGGGUGAGUAACACGUGGAUAACCUACCUAUAAGACUGGGAUAACUUCGGGAAACCGGAGCUAAUACCGGAUAAUAUUUUGAACCGCAUGGUUCAAAAGUGAAAGACGGUCUUGCUGUCACUUAUAGAUGGAUCCGCGCUGCAUUAGCUAGUUGGUAAGGUAACGGCUUACCAAGGCAACGAUGCAUAGCCGACCUGAGAGGGUGAUCGGCCACACUGGAACUGAGACACGGUCCAGACUCCUACGGGAGGCAGCAGUAGGGAAUCUUCCGCAAUGGGCGAAAGCCUGACGGAGCAACGCCGCGUGAGUGAUGAAGGUCUUCGGAUCGUAAAACUCUGUUAUUAGGGAAGAACAUAUGUGUAAGUAACUGUGCACAUCUUGACGGUACCUAAUCAGAAAGCCACGGCUAACUACGUGCCAGCAGCCGCGGUAAUACGUAGGUGGCAAGCGUUAUCCGGAAUUAUUGGGCGUAAAGCGCGCGUAGGCGGUUUUUUAAGUCUGAUGUGAAAGCCCACGGCUCAACCGUGGAGGGUCAUUGGAAACUGGAAAACUUGAGUGCAGAAGAGGAAAGUGGAAUUCCAUGUGUAGCGGUGAAAUGCGCAGAGAUAUGGAGGAACACCAGUGGCGAAGGCGACUUUCUGGUCUGUAACUGACGCUGAUGUGCGAAAGCGUGGGGAUCAAACAGGAUUAGAUACCCUGGUAGUCCACGCCGUAAACGAUGAGUGCUAAGUGUUAGGGGGUUUCCGCCCCUUAGUGCUGCAGCUAACGCAUUAAGCACUCCGCCUGGGGAGUACGACCGCAAGGUUGAAACUCAAAGGAAUUGACGGGGACCCGCACAAGCGGUGGAGCAUGUGGUUUAAUUCGAAGCAACGCGAAGAACCUUACCAAAUCUUGACAUCCUUUGACAACUCUAGAGAUAGAGCCUUCCCCUUCGGGGGACAAAGUGACAGGUGGUGCAUGGUUGUCGUCAGCUCGUGUCGUGAGAUGUUGGGUUAAGUCCCGCAACGAGCGCAACCCUUAAGCUUAGUUGCCAUCAUUAAGUUGGGCACUCUAAGUUGACUGCCGGUGACAAACCGGAGGAUGGUGGGGAUGACGUCAAAUCAUCAUGCCCCUUAUGAUUUGGGCUACACACGUGCUACAAUGGACAAUACAAAGGGCAGCGAAACCGCGAGGUCAAGCAAAUCCCAUAAAGUUGUUCUCAGUUCGGAUUGUAGUCUGCAACUCGACUACAUGAAGCUGGAAUCGCUAGUAAUCGUAGAUCAGCAUGCUACGGUGAAUACGUUCCCGGGUCU